GACUGCAGGUUUUCUAAGAACAAACAUUGCAGAAGUCUUCUCUCAUUGUCAUUCUCAAAAUGUUUGUAAUAACUUGAAGCCAGAGUUCACGGUACUGCACAGAGUUACUGGUAGAACCUGGGAGGGACUGACAGUAACUGCACAGGUCUUUAUUGACAUGGGAAACAUAUGAUUACAUUGCCAAAGCAACUGCGUCUCAUAGCCUGGGGUCUGGCUGAGUUCUACCACCCAGCUCAGGAAUACAACGUCAGGGUGGCCUCCCGUUAUUUUAAAGGACCAGAGCUGCUAGUGGACUAUCAGAGCACCUGGUGACCCCUGAGUCCCUGGACCUGCUGGACAAGCUGCUACGCUACGACCACCAGCAGAGACUGACCGCUGCUGAGGCCAUGCAGCAUCCAUACUUCUGCAGAGCAGGCAACAGAUGGCACACAGACAGCAGAGUUGGGGACAGAUAUGCAGGGACAGACUGGCAGAGACAGGGAGUCUCAGAUCCAGUGCUGAAUGAACAGACCAUCUCCAACACAGACACCAAGGCAAUAAGUGGAUCCAAUGCAACAUGAUGGACAGAGAGGAGGAAAACCUUUGUUACCUCAACUUGUGACCCUUUCGUGGCAGAAACGAUCUGCCUCCAAGUCUACAGCCAUACUGGAGCAAGAAGUCAACUUGCAACACACACAACACUCUUGGAUAAAACCUAAAUCUUUCACAACGUGGGUACUAGCGUUGCUUGGCCCCAGUCACACACAAUGUAUCGGAUCCAAGCUAUGAGGUGUGAUAUUCCCUCCUAGAACUGCCCCCCGAAAUCCCUGCCCGCUCCCCACCCCACCCACCUCAACUCCCCUGUUUUCUGACAUCCCCUGAUGUCAGAUGUGAUACAGAGACUGACUCCAGGUCAGUUUGGCACUGGUGUUGUGCUGUGAGAUGUGUGUUGGUCAGUAUGGAGCUGCACUGGCCUGGGGUCAGAGCUAUAAUAGCACUGAGUGGCAUGGAGGCUCUUUUCUGCUAUGGAUAGAACAAAUACUAUAUUAAAGAGAAUAAACCAUUUUUAUUUAAA